rnacentral:other from 1 species
GAACUCUUACAGCAAUUUAAUUUCAAAUCGAUGGAUAUAAAAUUCCAAUGGUAGAAAAACACAGAGAUCUG